rnacentral:rRNA from 1 species
UACAGAGACUGCAAGCGUUAUUCGGAUUCACUGGGCGUAAAGGGUGCGCAGGCGGCCGGGUGUGUCAGAUGUGAAAUCCCGAGGCUCAACCUCGGAACUGCGUCUGAAACUACUCGGCUAGAGUACUGGAGAGGGUAACGGAGUUCACGGUGUAGCAGUGAAAUGCGUAGAUAUCGUGAGGAACACCAGAGGCGAAGGCGGUUACCUGGACAGUUACUGACGCUCAGGCACGAAAGCAUGGGGAGCAAAAGGG